ACCUGAUAGUAUGGUGAGAUUGCAUGAUAGCACCAUUAAAGAUUUAUUGGUAAACGAUGGGGAUGCGUUCCAUUAGAUAGUAGGCGGGGUAACGGCCCACCUAGUCUUCGAUGGAUAGGGGUUCUGAGAGGAAGGUCCCCCACAUUGGAACUGAGACACGGUCCAAACUCCUACGGGAGGCAGCAGUGAGGAAUAUUGGUCAAUGGGCGAGAGCCUGAACCAGCCAAGUAGCGUGAAGGAUGACUGCCCUAUGGGUUGUAAACUUCUUUUAUAAAGGAAUAAAGUCGGGUAUGGAUACCCGUUUGCAUGUACUUUAUGAAUAAGGAUCGGCUAACUCCGUG
rnacentral:rRNA from 1 species